UAGGUCAGGAGUGUAAGCAUGGCGACAUGUUAAGCGGACUGAUACUAAUAGGUCGAGGACUUAACCUAG
rnacentral:rRNA from 1 species